AUACCUCACCCAGUCCUUGCUCAUAUAAAACAUCUCUCCAAUCAGUUUGUCUCUCCAUCCUUACCACAUUUGAGAUCUCCAACCCCCUCUUCCUUUCUAUUUAUAAAAACUUUAAAAGGGCGGUUGUCGAUGCAUAUGUCUAUAAUAAAUAUUGCAGAUCUCGUUGAGUUGAUCUUGAUAUAGGUCAGCGUUGGAGAGGAAACCACUUCGCCGACAUAAAUUAAUGGUUUCCCAAGGACAAGCUUAGCAUCCUUAAACAAGCACUUAUCAGAUCGUAACAUGAACUUCUAAUUAUUUGCAACAUUGCCUUGCGUAUUGAGCAUAUGAGAUAAUUGUAGAAAUAUUCCUUCGGGUAUUCUUGCCACUAACCUUUCCAGGAUUGGAGCAAGAAGAUCGGAUGAAUGACAAGCGCAAGGUAUGCCCAACCAAUCAACAUGCAACAUUGAAUUAAAUUCAUCCAAUCUUGAAUUUUGCAAAAAUUCAAGCUUGGGGGAGUACUUCACAUAAAAACAUCCUUUGCCAUGUUGCUAUGUUGGUUGUCCUUACCUUUGAGACAUGCUCAAUUUGUUAAAUACUAAUCACACUACUUCAUCUCCACUUAAGUAGAUCUUUAUAAGCCAUCAUGCUACCUUUGUUUAUCCUAGUAAGUGUUAGUUUGGAAGUACUGUACAUACUUAUAUUGGCUUUUAAAUUAAGCGUGGUGCUUAGGUUAAAUAGCCUCCCUUAAUCUGAUUAGACAUGGAGUCUAGUAUGGUUACUGCUUGAGUAGGCACUGGUAUAUUUUGUCAGACUAACCCCUGCAGGAAAACUUUCAAUAUCAACCUGGGAAGUCCUGAGAUAAACUCACAUUGGAGACAAGGAGAGGGACACAUGAAGUUUAUCAAUUUACACGAGGAAGACGUAGCUGAUAAGAGAUGAUCCAUGGAGGGUACCACAAACACGAUGCACAACCGCUAAGAAAGGAAAGCUUCUACAAGAUGAUACUGUACCGCCACUCUUCAAGUAAGGUAACAUUCAAAGCUACUUGACUAUCACUUUUAUGAGCUUCUCCUUGGUUCUAGCAUUCACAUAAAUAAAGAGACAAACAUGUAUGAUUUAUAACUCCAAAUUAACCAACCCAAUUAAUUCAACAUGAUUAGUCCUUUAAUCUUUGUUCUUAGUACUACCUUCGUGAUCCCACACUCCUAAUCAUAUAACCUAAAAUGAUGCACAUUCAAUCUUUGGAAGAUAUAAACAAAACAUAAAUAUAGAUAGAUUAUCUUUCCAUUAGGUUGAACUAUAUGAUCUGACAAAUGUUUCAAAUCCUACACUCAUGAUCCUAUCAACUUUGUCUUGCUCACUAUGCUUAAGGUUAGAGAAGAACAAAUACACUUUUGGUUCUGUUGGUGUUUUCCACCAAUAGGGCCCAUGCAUUUGAUCUCUGCCUUGUCUCUAUGAACAGGUACACUUCAAACAAAACAUGGAGGAGUUUUACAACUCCCAGAUUCCACCAAGUGAAGAACCAGGAUCUACGAGCACAAAACACAAUGGAGAUCGGACACUUAGUUUUCCAAAGGAAAUAUUGAAGAACCUCUGUGUCCGAGUUGGUACCUUGUACACUCCAGCAAACUUCGUGGUGAUAGAGACUGGUACUGAGGAGAGGGCACCCAUCAUCUUAGGGAGGCCAUUCCUAAACACCAGAGCUGUCAUCUACGCUAAUGCUGCCAAGAUCAGUCUCUACAUCAAAGGGAAGAAGGAGACUUUCCUUCAAGAACAAGACUACACAAACUUCAGAGCAAUCCUGACAUGAACCAAGGAAGAGGACCAACAGGAGGAACAAGAACAAGCAAAUGUGGACCGAGUCAGCUGAGAUGGUCACUUCAGCUCAAGGAGGUCAAGAUCGUCGACUCAAGUCACCUUUCUUGAUCAAGAAGGACGACCCUGGUGUUCCAAGCAUUGAGUGCACAAUCAAUGGAUACUCUUUUUAGAAGACACUCUAUGACACCGGAUCUGACGACAACAUAAUGGCCGCAGUCACUUAUCAGCUCCUGCAUGGAACCAUGCUCCUACAACCAACAUACAUUCGGCUCCAGGUAAUUUUCAGGUCAUUAACAUGGGAGAAGACGAGUAUGAUGCACCCACUAUCCUUGGAAGACCGUUCCUCAACACUAUCAAAGCAAUCAUCUACAUUGGAACUGGAGAUGUCCACAUGCAAGUCCCCUCUGAGAAGGUAUGCCACUACUUUAAUGGUUCUAACUAUAUAGUGGAAGAUUUUAAGCAGGUCAGGACAAGAAGAAGACAACGCAACCGCAACCAGAGGAGGCAAAUCAUCAAGGACGGAUGGGUAGACUACGAAGGAGAAGUGAUAAGGUCUGAAGACAUAUAGCUUGAACAGAACUCUCCUGAGGAGACCGUUAGCGCCGAGUCAGGUGUGGAGAGAGAAGAUAGUUAUACACGAAGAGGAGGCGCCGUCGGAAUCACCGACUACGCCACCUUGCGAAUCCCAGGACGACUGAGAAAACAGAGAGUCCCGUUCGGAGGACUUAAAAACACCGAACGCCUUGCCAAGAGGUAAACUUGGUAGUUAUCCUUUUCCUUUCAAUUAUUCAAUUAUAGUUUGCUUAGUUAAUCAGGUUCAUGCUAUCUUGAAAAGAAAAUAAAAAUGUUAAAAAAAUAGUAAGCCCCAUGUGAGUAUGCUCAUGGCAUAAAACCCAUAAGUACAUUCACUGUGGUGGCAUAAAAAUAAAAUAAAUAAGUUUUCAUCUUACAAUAAAAAUAUAAAAAUAAUAAGUGCAUGAUCCUGCUAAAUAAGUAACAUUUAUUGAGGAGGCUCAACAUGAUAAAGGCUAGAUAUUUAUGCUAACACUUAACCAGUUCCACAAAGCUUUGUUGUCUAUUUGAGCUCCACAUAAUUCAAGGAUCAAAGAAGACUAGCAGAUGGAAGACAUCCUAAUCGCUGUCAGGGUGCUGCCGACUUUCAAAUACACCUCCAUCACCUGCUAGCUACAUCAGAAGAAAUUGCGUCAAAAUCCAGCUUGGGGGAGAGCACCCCCAUUUAUCCAGCUAAGUAUUUCUACUCGCGUUUAUACUUUACUCAAAUGAUAAAAGAUGCAUAAUCAUGAAAACCCAAAUAAAAAUUUUGUGCUUUUAAAUAUAUAUAUAUAUAUCUUUGCUUAGUUUGCUAAAUAAAUAAAUAAAUAAAGUUUGCUAUGAACACUCAUGAUAAACUCUCACAUGGAAAUGAUGAAUAGUUGCUCUGCCAUGACUAGUUCUUAAAAUUGAAAUCUCUCUCAAGUUUAGGCAUGACUGUUAUGAAGUAAGAUUUGCUCUAAACCUGAACUUGUGGGAAGAGUACUUGAUCUAAAGUCUAAGUUGUUAACGGAUAUGAUAUGGGAAGGUUGAGCUGCUGUUUAUCUGUUCCUAGAGAUGCUAGAAUUCUAGAGAAUUUUAUCUUUGAAAAAUCUUUAAAAUAACACAUGAUGAGCUCCUAUAUGAUGAGAGUUUAAAUUCCUACCACAGCCAUAUAUACAUGCUUGCUAGACUUUGAGCCACAUAUUUACUUUUUACUGCUUAUGAGCAUUGAGUGUGGUCAAGCUGUGUAGACCCUUAGGAGCUUGUCAUGUGGUUAAAAUCAAGAUUCACUUGCACGUUCACUCAUACAUGCUACUUCUACUCCGGAAGUACCAUCCACAUAUAUCCACUCAUUUCCAUCUCCACAUUCACCCAAAAUUAUUCUACUCCUAAUCCGGGAGAGAAUAGCCAAAAACAUUUUCCAAUCCCUGUUAUUCCCUGUGAAAUAAAUGCUCCAGUUAUUUUGGUUACUACCACUUGCUACAUUAUUUCAGGAGAUGAGUGCUCUAAAAAAAAGAAAGAAAAAAAAGAGAGAGAAGAAAAAAAAUACAGGGAAAUAAAAAGGGGCAAGUGCCCGGAACCUCGAAGAAAAAGAAAAAAGUGAGACGAGAGGUAAAAAUGGACAAGUGUCCGACAGUAGAAUUAGGGGUACAAGAUACCCACCUGAGAGGAAAGAAAAAGAAAAUAUAGAGCAUCUCAUUAUCCUCAAAAAGCUUCAAAGUGCAAGAAAGGUAUGUAUCCCCUCAAAAGAGCAAAAGUAGAAUUAGGCUUUCACCACUAUUAUCACCAUAAUCACCAUACGCCAUUCAUUCGCCACACAUGCACAUCUUGAUUUGACUUAUUGACUUGUUUCUCUGGAUCUAUGGUUUGACUAUGCAAUAAAUGUCUUGUAAGUAUGUAUUAGCUGUCUCCCACCUAUGAGCUCCAGAUAUCAGAACCUUAUUAGAGUAGGGUGAGAGAGAAUGCAAUAUCACUAUGCCUCAUACCAAAAAUACCACAUACUUUGAGAGAAGGCAUGUACCAUUACUGCCUUGGUAAGGAUCUAGAAAUACAACAAAAGAGAGAUCUGAGAGAGUCAUAUAAGGAAUCUCUGAGUUUUAUUUGAAAAAUCUGCAAAAACCCAAGAGCUAUAGCUGAUCAAGAAUAAGAGACAUGGCGCUUGACUUGACCGUUCUAUCUUUUAACUGCUCAAGACACAAGUGACGGUUACAAGCCCCAUGGUGAAAGGUAAAAUGAGUAAGUUUUAAGUCUUAACAGUUUAUUCUAACUCAGAGAUGAGAUCUUGCUUGAAUGCGUGUGUACUUUUAAGGCAUGAAACCGCGGCAGAAACUCUUGAGUUCAUCCUUGCUCAGGGACGAGCAAGAGGUAAGCUUGGGGGAGUUUGUUGACGGUCCUUAAGUAUCAACUUUAAUUAUCAAAUAAACAAAGAAAAGGAUCAAAAUGAAAUCAACAUCUAGACUUAGGGUUUUAUCUGACAGAAUUUCACGAGUUUUGGUGUUUGUCUAUUUCUCAAGGGGGUUAUCAGGAAAUAAGGAAGAAAGGCCCACAUGUCGGGAUUACAUAGAGAUAUCAACGCACUGCGCAAUUUUCUACCAUCUAGAAGACUCCAGAAGCCACGGGAAGGAAGCGGAGGCCGAACGGGGCCAGGCCCAGGGCGCCCGCCCUAGUGACCUGGGCGCCCGACACCUGUUGGAUGCCAAUCAGGACUCUCUUCGCACGGGAUGUUCCACCGACCUAUUGGAUCAAGGAAAACAUAGUACCACCUCGCCUACCGACCCAAAGACGCAUAGAGGAGGAGGACUAUAUAAGGAGACCCCCCUGGCCCCUGGAGGAGACAAGAAAUUAUCAUAGAGAUUGAGGGGUGCCCUUCAUGAGGACAUCCCAACUAAGCAUGCUUCCUCCAAUUCCAUGCCAACCUCUACACCGACUACGCCGGCACCAGCCCAAGCCAUUGAUGGAGCAAUUACACAUAGCCGAGCCAAGAAGCUACAACAAAAGGUGAACGCGCUACUUUGUGAGAGUUCUAUUAAUGUUAAUGAGAAUAUUAUACUACCUAAGUGUUCUACUUUGGUUGUGCUUAGGUAUACACAUAAGGAGGGAGGUGACCUGGACCGCAAGGAUUGGAACAACACGGUGCAGAACGGACCAGUUGAAAGAAGGGCAGAUCGGACCAGUGCGGUGCAGAACGGACCAGUUGAAAGAAAAGAUCAUAACUUUCACUUUCCAGAUGCUAUGAAGGCCCAUGAGCACUUGAUGCAAAGCUCUUCGAGUCUACUUUCCAAUGAAUCAAGUGGCGACCAGUUUGGAUAAUCCAUAUUCCCUGUAGACCAGAAUUAGUAUAGACUGCUCAGAAGGUCAACAGUCAGUCGUGACAGAAUGUUGGUACAACUUGCCAAGUAAAACUGCACCAAUCUACAGUGUUUCGUGGUGCAUGGCAUACGUUGCUGGAAAGCUCUUGGAGUCUAGUUUCACACCCAGGAAACGGUUCAUCAUUUGGACUUACCAAUAAAAAGUUAUGGUCAGUUUAUUGGAAACUGCUCUGGAGGCCAACAGUCACGCGAAGCCACUUCGGGAAUCCAUUUCGAGGGGACCUUUCACAUUGCCUUCCCUCAGAAACUCUAUUUCGUUUUCAUACCUAUCUAGCAGGGCUGUUGCUAGUAUAAAUACCCCCAAGACUCAUUGUAAUCGAAGACUUAUGAUAUUGAGAAUACAAACCACUUUGUUCAGCUGUGUGCUAACAAAUUCAGAGAGAGAUCUCUACCCCUUUGCUCUUGUGUUUUCCUUCGCGGAGAUUACAGAAGCAGCCGCGUCAUCGGCACCCAAUCCGUGCUCCUGAUCCUUGAGUUCAGGUUGCGUAGGUUGGUUCUUUGAGAGUGUGGUUGGGCGAAUCCUUGGUUCAGGCUGCCGUAUAGAGACGGUGGUUGGCUCCUUGUGCGUGUCAUCAGGUUGCACUAGUUAUCCUCGCUGCUUGCAGCAAGUUAUCGGCUGAUCUUCAGCUAGUUAUCCAUCCUACGUCGUGAAGAUCCGGACAACGACCUCACCAUCUGGUAUCAAAGCUCAAGUUUCCACGGUAGGAAUUUUACCCUUAGCUACAUAUAUAUAUCUUGUUCGUCCUAUCCACCAAAAAGCCAUAAAAAAAUUGCAUUAGCCCUUUGUUUCAAUCUGUUUUUCUUGUGAGUUUGGUUAAGUUUCAGUCCAUUAGAGUUUUGUUUAGUUGCUGAUCAUCAUAUCCUUUGUGUGUCCUUUGUGCCUCUUUUGUAUCUACAAAUCCCUAAACAAAAUCUGAAACUGGUAUCAUCCUUCGCGUAAACUUUGAUCCUAUCAAGUUAGAACGCUGACGGUUGUGUCUUGUUUCAAAAAAAAAGUGUGUGCAAGUGUUAUAUCUGCUCUUGUUCUUAGUUAUAAAAAAAAAGUAUCAAAAAAAAGGAAAGUGAAAAAAAAGGAGAGUUGAGGAAGAAAAGUUGUGAAGAAAGAGUAGAAAGUUCACUCUGUUUAUGUGCUCAAGUUCUGAAUUUUAUAUCAAGUCACACAAUCAGUCAUUAUCCAUCUUUGGUGCAAAAUUUUGCUUGGGUUUGAUUGCAACACUUGCAUCCUAGGCAUACUCCUUGUUUGCAUCAAAUCUGAAUUAUCUUUGCGCGUGUGUUUGAUCUAUUUACAUCACUCAUAUCUUGUGGUCAGCACUAGGCAUUGAACUUCUAGUUUGGAUUGUGGUUUAACUUUACAAUAUCAAGAAUUCAGACUGCAUUCCUUGUGAAAUAUAUCCCCACCAAGCUCCACAAAUAACCCACCGUCAUAGGAAAAUACUGAUCUUGGAUUCUCCCAACCAUCAUUCUCGGUUACCACCUCGCAUUGGCCGUUGUAAUCUGCGGGGAACUCACAUGAGCUUCGGUUGGUAAGAGAGGUGAGAUUGUGAGAUUCCACAUAUAAUUCCCUAUUCUAUAUAUAUUGUUGCUUUGCCUUCACUAAUUUUUUACAGCAACAUGACUGAGCAUCCGGAGAUUGAUGAUUGUGUCACCAUGGCACGAUUCAAUGAGAUGAAACAAAGCAUGGAGACGCUAACAAACAAUGUUCAAGCACUCAUGAACCAGUUGCAAAUUCAUCCUCAUGAUAAUGCAAAUGGCAGUCACCAUGAAGAUGAAGAAGAAGAGGAUGAACAGCCCCAUUAUGAUGAUCGUCGUCACCGAAGAAAUCAUAGGCGUAAUCAGCACAAUGAAGAGAGGUUUGGCAAGUUAAAAUUCACCAUGCCCCAGUUUGAAGGAGGAUCUGAUCCUGAAGCAUAUCUUACAUGGGAGUUGAAGGUGGAUAAAGUUUUUCGUGUGCAUAAUUAUUCUGAGAGAAAUAAGGUUGCCAUGGCUGCUCUUGAGUUCGAUGGGUAUGCUCUAAUCUGGUGGGAGCAAAUGUUGAAUGAAAGAGAAGAAGCUGGUCAAGGUGAUGUUCGUUCAUGGGCUGAAAUGAAGAGAGAAUUGAGAGCAAGAUUUGUCCCCAAACAUUAUCGCCGUGAUUUAUUUGACAAGCUACAGAAUCUGAAGCAAGGAAGCCUCAGUGUUGAUGAGUAUUAUAAAGAGAUGGAGAAGGCGAUGAUUAGAGCCAAUGUAAUUGAAGAUGAAGAGCAAACAAUUGCAAGAUUUAUGUCAGGGCUGCAUCGGAAUAUUCAGCGCAUUGUUGAAUUUCAGCAAUAUCGUAAUCUUGUUGAAUUGGUGCAUCAAGCUAGCAAAGCUGAGCGGCAAUUGCAGCAGGAUAUGAAGUCCACUAGAGGAGUAUCUUUCAGCACAAAGAGUGCAGCAAGUGGAAGUAAAUUUGCACCCAAAGGAAGUGGAAGUAAAGGUACAUUUUCCAGCUCAAACGGUGGUGCACGAUCUAGCAACCUUGGUUCUUCUAGUAGCAAAGAGUUGGCUGCUCAAAAUGAGAAAUUCAAAUCAGCAAACUCAGUGGAUUCUUCCAGCAAGAGUAGUGGAAUUCAGUGCUUCAAGUGUGGUGGUCGUGGUCAUGUUGCAAGAGAGUGUCCAAACGCUAGAACCAUCAUUGUGAAUGAUCAAGGGGAGUAUGAAUCUGCUAGUGAGAAAGAACAAGAAGAUAGUGGAAGUGAGAGUAAUCUUGAGAAGGACAUCUGUGAAUUUGAAUCUGGUGCUGCUCUUGUUGUAACUCAGAUUUGAGUGUACAAAUGAGUGAUGCUGAAAAUGGACAGCGGCACAAUCUUUUUCAGACUAGAGCUAAAGUGCAAGAUAAGGUUGUCAAAGUGAUCAUUGAUGGUGGCAGUUGCCACAAUCUUGCAAGCAAAGAAAUGGUUGAAAAGCUUGGGUUGAAGCUGCUGAAACAUCCCCAUCCAUAUCAUGUGCAAUGGCUUAAUAAUUCAGGUUCUAUUAAGAUUGCACAAAGAGUGAAAGUUCCAUUCAAGAUUGGUGAAUAUAUUGACACUGUAGAGUGUGAUGUGGCGCCUAUGACAGUAUGCCACAUGCUGUUGGGAAGACCAUGGCAAUAUGAUCGAUCGUCUCUACAUUGUGGUAGAACCAAUCAAUACACCAUCAAGUGGAAGAACAAGGAGUUGAUUCUUAAACCCAUGACACCGCAGCAAAUCCUAGCUGAGCACUUGCAAAAGAGCUCCGAAGUGAGGAAUGAGAGUGCAAAAGAAGGAGAGAAAAAUAAUUUGAGUGCCCUCCACAAAUCAGUGAGUGAGAGCCACAAGCCAAACAUGAGAGAUGACAGAAAAAGAGAGGGAGAGAACUUCGUGAUGAUAGCCACCAAAUCUGAACUGAGAGAUGUGAGGAAAAACCCAGAUCAAGUACUAUUUGUACUUGUGUGCAAGGACACAUUGCUUUCAGCUAAUGACUUAACAUCUGUCCCUAGUGUUGUUGCACAUGUUUUGCCGGACUAUGACGAUGUUUUUCCAAAGGAAACACCUGCUGGACUUCCUCCUUUGCGCGGUAUUGAACAUCAAAUUGAUCUCAUCCCUGGAGCUGCACUUCCAAACCGUCCGGCGUACCGCACCAAUCCGGAAGAAACCAAGGAGAUUCAAAGGCAAGUACAAGAACUUUUAGAUAAAGGAUAUGUGCGAGAAAGUUUAAGUCCUUGUGCUGUUCCUGUGAUUUUGGUGCCAAAGAAAGAUGGUUCAUGGAGGAUGUGUGUAGAUUGUAGAGCCAUAAACAACAUCACCGUUCGUUAUCAUCAUCCUAUUCCUAGGCUAGAUGAUAUGCUUGAUGAAUUGAGUGGUUCUAUGAUGUUUUCUAAAAUUGAUUUGAGAAGUGGUUACCAUCAAAUUAGAAUGAAGAUUGGAGAUGAAUGGAAAACUGCUUUUAAAACAAAGUUUGGGCUGUAUGAAUGGUUAGUUAUGCCUUUUGGUUUGACCAAUGCCCCUAGUACGUUCAUGAGAUUGAUGAACCAUGUCUUGCGAGCAUUCAUUGGAAAGUUUGUUGUUGUUUACUUUGAUGAUAUUCUAAUUUACAGCAAGACAUUGGAGGAACAUGUUGAUCAUAUUAAGCAAGUUUUGGAUGUGCUAAGAAAAGAAAAAUUAUUUGCUAACCUUGAGAAGUGCACAUUUUGUACAGAUCAGGUUGUGCUUCUUCGUUUUGUUGUUUCAUGUUCAGGAAUUCAGGUUGAUGAAUCAAAGAUGAAAGCAAUCAAGGAUUGGCCAACUCCUGAAAAUGUGAGUCAGGUGAGAAGUUUUCAUGGACUUGCUGGUUUUUACAGGAGAUUUGUGAGAGAUUUCGGCACCAUAGCUGCUCCGUUGAAUGAGUUAACAAAGAAAGGUGUUGCCUUCCAAUGGGGUGAACCACAAGAGAGAGCAUUCCAAGAAUUGAAGAAGAUGCUAUCCGAAGCCCCCUUGCUGGUGUUACCGGAUUUCACUAAAACCUUUGAGGUUGAAUGUGAUUCAAGUGGGAUCGGAAUCGAUGGUGUCCUAAUGCAAAAUGGACAGCCGGUUGCAUACUUCAGUGAGAAGUUAGGAGGUGCGCAACUGAACUACUCGGUGUAUGACAAAGAAUUGUAUGCUUUGGUAAGAGCUCUUGAGACUUGGCAACAUUAUUUAUGGCCAAAAGAAUUUGUUAUUCAUUCAGAUCAUGAGGCUUUGAAAUAUUUAAAGGGACAAGCAAAACUGAAUCGUAGACAUGCCAAAUGGGUUGAAUUCAUUGAAACUUUUCCAUAUGUUGUGAAAUAUAAGAAAGGUAAAGAAAACAUUGUUGCUGAUGCUUUGUCACGUAAAAAUGUUUUGUUGAAUCAACUAGAUGUCAAGGUGCCAGGACUUGAAAGCAUAAAAGAAUUGUACCCUACUGAUCAUGAAUUUUCAGAACCAUUUGCAAACUGUACAACUAGAAAAGGGUGGGAAAAAUAUCAUAUACAUGAUGGAUUUUUGUUUCGAGCUAACAAAUUGUGUGUACCCCACUGCUCUGUUAGGCUUUUGUUGCUACAGGAAACACAUGCAGGUGGAUUGAUGGGUCACUUUGGAUGGAGAAAGACAUAUGAGAUGCUAGCUGAUCACUUCUACUGGCCACAGAUGAGAAGACCAAACAAGCAUCGCAAGAAGGUGAUAUUUGAGCCCGGAGAUUUAGUGUGGGUACAUCUCCGCAAAGACCGCUUUCCUGAGAAGCGUAAAUCCAAGUUGAUGCCACGGGGAGAUGGUCCAUUCAGAGUGCUAUCCAGGAUCAAUGAUAAUGCCUACAAGAUUGAGCUUCCUGAAGAUUAUGGUGUUAGCACAACCUUCAAUGUUGCUGACUUGACACCAUUCUUCGGAUUAAAAGAAUCAGAGUCGAGGUCGACUCCUUUUUAAGAGGGGGAGGAUGAUGAGGACAUCCCAACUAAGCAUGCUUCCUCCAAUUCCAUGCGAACCUCUACACCGACUACGCCGGCACCAGCCCAAGCCAUUGAUAGAGCAAUUACACGUAGCCGAGCCAAGAAGCUACAACAAGAGGUGAACGCGCUACUUUGUGAGAGUUCUAUUAAUGUUAAUGAGAAUAUUAUACUACCUAAGUGUUCUACUUUGGUUGUGCUUAGGUAUACACAUAAGGAGGGAGAUGACCUGGACCGCAAGGAUUGGAACAACACGGUGCAGAACGGACCAGUUGAAAGAAGGGCAGAUCGGACCAGUGCGGUGCAGAACGGACCAGUUGAAAGAAAAGAUCAUAACUUUCACUUUCCAGAUGCUAUGAAGGCCC
rnacentral:lncRNA from 1 species